rnacentral:sRNA from 1 species
GUUUAUGUGGUAUAAUAGUAGUUGACAGUAAAGUUUAAUGACGGUGGCUAUCCAAUGAAAGUGAGGUGGUGCGUAUGAGCGUACUUCCAAUAUCUUAUGAAAGGAGACGCCUUUUGUCUGCAUACGAAACAAUCCAGACCAUUCUCGGCUUCGGUAUGUUUACCAUCGCUUUGAUCAGUCUGGU